UACGUAGGGUGCGAGCGUUAAUCGGAAUUACUGGGCGUAAAGCGUGCGCAGGCGGUUUUAUAAGCCAGAUGUGAAAGCCCCGGGCUCAACCUGGGAAUGGCAUUUGGGACUGUAAGGCUGGAGUAUGGCAGAGGAGACUAGAAUUCCUGGUGUAGCAGUGAAAUGCGUAGAUAUCAGGAGGAAUACCGAUGGCGAAGGCAGGUCUCUGGGCCAAUACUGACGCUCAUGCACGAAAGCGUGGGGAGCAAACCAGGA
rnacentral:rRNA from 1 species